UGGGCUGAAGGAUCCUCCUCUCAUCAUCCCUGGGGUUCGAGCAGCAAGGGUUGGCUGGAAGGAAACCAGACGCUCACUUUAGCAUCUUAGCUACGCCGGUAUUCUUAUCGCACAUUGUGUAGGCAAUACCCUGAAGUUCAAUGCUUAGCAAGAGGUUAACAGAGAAAUGAGCAUCCCUUCACACCAGCCCUUGGGCUGCUACAGAAAUCGGGAAAGAAUGCAGCGCGUUAGAAAAAAAUCACCGAAAAUAUCCAGUCCGCAGCCGAGCAAAGGAGAAGAGAAGAGAGAGAUCCUAAAGCCCGGCGCGACAGGCUGCGGGCCACCUGCUUGCGCCAGGAGGUGAGACGCGACGGAAGAUGGGACUCACCGGCGUGGCUGGCCGCUAGCAGCGCGGCCACUAGGGCGCAGGGCAGAAGCAUGUCCCGACGGAGGAUGCCUGGAUGUUCGCUGCAGCUCCGGCUCUACGGGUGCUCGACGCCGAGAACCCAGUGCCGCUCCUAGGUACGCGCCCGUCUAUAUAUCGGCGGCGGUGAGUCACAGUCGGAAACACGAAAUGGGGGAUUUCGGUGCAUGAGACCCGCCCCGCCGCGUAGCUGCCGGCCCCCUCGGCCGUAGCCCGCCGUUUCUCCGCCUGUCUCCCGCCGGCGGGACGCGGCGGUGGCAGUCGUUCCGCCGCCUCCCGCGCCGCCCCCGCCUCAGCCCCUGCAGGGACCGCGGCUCUUCCUGCUGGCGGCUGAGAGGACCACACGCCUCGGUGGGCGGAGAGGGGCUACCUGCGUUUGCCCGUCCAGGUCGAACCCCCGACAGCCUCGGGGAGAAGGCGAAGGCAGCGCUUUCUCGGAAGCAGCUUCUCGGCGCCCGAGCCCGUCCCAUGCCCCCUCGGCGUCCCUUCAGGGCAGGGCGGCAGCAGCCUGCCGCGGCUGCCCCGCACCGCAGGGGGCUUGGCUCGAUGGCGCACGGCGCGGAGUCGCGGCGGCCAGAGUUGCCGAUAUUCCUCUCCUGGCCUAGUUUUCUGACACCCCUUCAAAGUGUCUGUGUUGUAAACCAGAGACGUCUAAGCCAGCCGCCUCGUUGCAGUCGGCAGUAAGCCACACUCUUGCGACUGCAGAAGUGCAACGCAAAGUGUCAGCCGGCCAGAACCGCGCAAGGACGCGCAGCCGAGCCCUACCGACGGUCGCAUUCCUCCCCUGCUGUCCGACACAGCACUGAGCACCCUGGGGAACGUGGGGUUUAGAUCGUUAAUGAGGCAAUUUUAAUCUGUUCAUUACAGAAGGGCUCGAGGACCUUGUUUUUCACAGGGAGAGGGAAGCUGCCGAGCGUUUGUGUUGCGUGCACGGAGGGAAGGCACAAGAGAAACCUCGAUUUUGAGGGCGAGGGAGAUUGCCCAGGGAGGUUGUGGAGUCUCCUCCUCUGCAGAGACUCCAGACCCUACCUGGACAUUGUGCUCUUGGGCAACCUUGCUGUAGCAAGGCAGUUGGGCUGGAUGAUCUCUAGAGCUCCUUCCCAAACCCGCCUAUUCUGGGAUCCGGUGUUUCUGUGGCAUGAACAGCGAGCACAUUUGGUGAUUGAUUUGGACGUCUUUGCGUUUCUGGGAUCAAAUCCCAUUAUUAAGCAUCUUAUUUUGAAACGACCAGUGACUUUUCCUCCGUGUUUCUGCUCCAAGAUCCCCCCCGCCGCUCUCUGCAAGUCCAUCUGUAAACACAUCUUUCCUCAUUUCCUUCAGUUGCCCUUGCGGGAUGCUUUACCUUUUUGUCAUCUAUUAUGUUGUUUGAGAUCAGGCCACACUACUACUCCUAUUUUUAACCUUCUUUGCGCGUGGAAAAUGUGUUAUGAAACAAGCAGCAUGUAAGGCAGUUGUGUAACCCUCUGCGGCACAGUGCUGGGGGCUCGCUGCAGUCUGCCCCACGGCUGCUGCUUUCGCCCGUGAUGUCAGCGUGAGACACUGACAAAGCCCCGUGUUUCACUGAAGAUAUCUCCUUGAGGUUCCAUGCUUGAUUGUGUUUAAAUUGCAAAUCGAUGACUUUACACCAAGUGGAUUUGGUCCUGUUUAAACAAGAUCUUAGUUUUGGCCCAGAAGGCUUGCGGUGAGGUCGGUGAAUAAUUUGUGUACAUCAGCAGGAGGUCAUCCUGGAUGGUUUAGGGAAUGUUGGA